GCCUGAAGUCACGUGUCACACCCAGAAGCAGUGUCAAAGACAGUCUCUGCAGACAACAAGUUUGCACCUGAAUUGGAAGAGAAAUCUUUUCAGGAAAAGGACAUCAGCUCCAAAAUAUGAAACUGGAGGGGCUCCAUCCUCCUGGACAAGGGGGCAAGAGAGGCACCCGCUGUGCUAGCUGUCUGAGAGACCACGAGCAUGGCUGCUCUCAAGCCAUUCUACACCCAACCUGUAUCUGUGCUCGGGAUUGGCCUAACCCAGCUGGAGGACCUUGCACUUAGCCUUGUCGAACUUCAUGAGGUUGUCAUGGGCCCACCUCUCAAGUCUGUCCAGGUCCUUCUGGAUGGUAUCCCUUCCCUCUAGCGUGUCAACUACACCACUCAGCUGGUUCUGUUGUCAAACUUGCUGAGGGUGCACUCGAUCCCACUUUCCAUGUUGCCUACAAGGAUUCUAAAUAAUACUGGUCCCAGCACUGAUCCCUGAAGAUCACCAGUCAUCAGUGGUCUCCACCUGGACACUGUAUCAUUGACUACAACUCUCUGAGUGUGACCAUCCAGCCAAUUCCUCAUCCAGCAAAUGGUCCAUUCAUCAAAUCCAUUUUUUCUCCAAUUUGGUAACCAGGAUGUCAUGUGGGACAGAGUUGGAUACUUUGCACAAGUCCAGGUAGAUGAUGUCAGUUGCUCUUCCUUUAUCCACUGGUGCUGUAACUUCAUCAUAAAAAGCCACCAAGUUUGUUAAGUGUGACUUUCCCUUGGUGCAGCCAUAUUGGUUACCACAAAUCACCUCAUCUUUUUUUUCCACCUGCCUUAGUGGGGCCUUCAGGAGGAUCUGCUCCAUGAUCUUGUCAGACACAGAAGUGACACUGACUAGCCUGUAGUCCCCUGGAUCUCCUUUUUUUUCCCUUCUUCAAAAUGGGACUUAUGUUUCCCAUUUUCCAUUCAGUGGGAAUGUGAAUUCAAAAGGGUCCACUGUUUGUUCUGUCCUUCUUUUCUAGUUUUCUCAAAAUUUUUAAUUUAAAUGUAGCUUCAAUCAUCUGUUUCUAAGGCUAUGAUUAAUGAGAGUAACCCAUGUCCUUAAAAAAACUGGGAAUGCCUCCUUGACAUUUUCCAAGUCUGCACCAGAUACAAUAUUCCCUCAGCUCCAGAGGAGUCAUCCAGCUGACCUUAGUGGUUUUGAGCUCAGACUCAAGGUGUAUGGUGGAAUGUGCCAAAGAGAGGAUCUGGAUCACAUUCCCCUUUAGUUUCUACUUUAUAAAGAAAGGAACUGGUUAGUGGGCCUUCCCGCUUCAGGUCUCAAUGCUCAACAAUUUCAUCAUCCAAGAAAAGGAGAGAGCUAUGAAGAUUCUCUAACUGCUGCUUUCAAAAUACCUUUCUAAUGCCUCUGCAUUAGAAGCAUCUGUUCUUAUUUAUGAACUUUUCCAUAUACAAGAGGAUAUCACAAAUUUUCAUUUUGGAUAGCUUACUCUUGAUUAAAAAACAAAAAACAAACACAAAAGUUAAAAAAGUCUCAUACUGUGAAAAUGCCUUCAAAGCAUAUGAGACUGAGUGCCUGGCUCCUAGGGUAGUGUCACCCAUGCUGGCCCUGGUUCAGCAAAGCACUCAAGCACAUCCAUGAGCCCCGUUUACUCCAACGGGCUGUUAAGUCUGGGCUCAUGCUGGACUUUCUGUUACAGCUGUUAAAAAAAACUCACAGUACUGCCUCCCACACCAUGAUGCAGGGAGAAACCUGAUUAAAGCUGAUGUAAGAGGCUACCAGCGAAAGCCAAGUGCUCUGUACAACAAGUUUUAUUGAUCUCAUAAAACUCAGGAACUCUUCUGUUAGCCAGCCACCUACUUUUGAGUCCCAUAUACAGACAGCUAAUUUACUGUUCACAUACAUAGAGACAUAGCACAGUCUUGCAAUAAGUCCCAGCAUUUAAUGUACAUCAUAAAAGAAACAUCAGCAUUCUCUCCACUUGUGCAGCUACAUAAACCUUGACUCUUGUUUGGAUAAGUCUAAGAGCAUCUGGGCUGCCAAAGGUUGCUCUGGCUUUUGACUGCCCAGUGCUAUUGCAGCAGUGGCUGUGAGGUCAGAAGACAAAUGUCACAAAUGUUUACAGUGUUCAGUGCAGUCCCAAAUUGCCAGGAGAAACACUCUUCUCUUUAUUGUCAUUGACCACUCUUUCACAACUUCCUAGUAUUUGAGCAGGGAACAAACCACUGUGAGUUUUAAAAUUGUGCUGCUUUUUGGGUAGUAUUUGGGCAUGUGAGAUUUCCAAGUUGGCAACGUGGAGAAAAAUAAGGAUGUAGAAGAAAGUGACCCAGGAUGGUGGAGAAAAAGAGGAGGAAGUAGGGCAACCUCUCUCUGAUAUGUCACAUAUUUAAGCCUUUAUUAUUAUCUGUAUAAUUUAGGUUACUCAUUUACAGAGUAACUCAAGUCUGCUUCAUGUCUCUUGGCCUGGUUGUACAGAGGGCUAGCUAGUUCCUUAACAGGUUUUAACCUCAGCUGAAAUCAGAUACUAGAGGAAAUGAACUGGAUUUAUGCAUAUGUAGAAGGGUUGGUCAGGCAGGAUCUACGUUUAUUAAAGCACUGUCUGGCAGUUCUCAUAGGGUGUCUAUAUACCUUGUAAACUUAUAGCACAAAAGGAGAUUCAAAAUAAAGGCAAUAAUAC
ensembl:lncRNA